UGGGGAAUUUUCCGCAAUGGGCGAAAGCCUGACGGAGCAAUGCCGCGUGGAGGUAGAAGGCCCACGGGUCGUGAACUUCUUUUCUCGGAGAAGAAGCAAUGACGGUAUCUGAGGAAUAAGCAUCGGCUAACUCUGUGCCAG
rnacentral:rRNA from 1 species